rnacentral:rRNA from 1 species
UGCAGUCGAGCGGACAGAAGGGAGCUUGCUCCCGGAUGUUAGCGGCGGACGGGUGAGUAACACGUGGGUAACCUGCCUGUAAGACUGGGAUAACUCCGGGAAACCGGAGCUAAUACCGGAUAGUUCCUUGAACCGCAUGGUUCAAGGAUGAAAGACGGUUUCGGCUGUCACUUACAGAUGGACCCGCGGCGCAUUAGCUAGUUGGUGAGGUAACGGCUCACCAAGGCGACGAUGCGUAGCCGACCUGAGAGGGUGAUCGGCCACACUGGGACUGAGACACGGCCCAGACUCCUACGGGAGGCAGCAGUAGGGAAUCUUCCGCAAUGGACGAAAGUCUGACGGAGCAACGCCGCGUGAGUGAUGAAGGUUUUCGGAUCGUAAAGCUCUGUUGUUAGGGAAGAACAAGUGCAAGAGUAACUGCUUGCACCUUGACGGUACCUAACCAGAAAGCCACGGCUAACUACGUGCCAGCAGCCGCGGUAAUACGUAGGUGGCAAGCGUUGUCCGGAAUUAUUGGGCGUAAAGGGCUCGCAGGCGGUUUCUUAAGUCUGAUGUGAAAGCCCCCGGCUCAACCGGGGAGGGUCAUUGGAAACUGGGAAACUUGAGUGCAGAAGAGGAGAGUGGAAUUCCACGUGUAGCGGUGAAAUGCGUAGAGAUGUGGAGGAACACCAGUGGCGAAAGCGACUCUCUGGUCUGUAACUGACGCUGAGGAGCGAAAGCGUGGGGAGCGAACAGGAUUAGAUACCCUGGUAGUCCACG